ensembl:snoRNA
UGGACCGAUGAUGGCAUCUGGUGUCCUGUGAGUCAUGCAUGAUGGAGCAGCCUGUGUCCAA